rnacentral:lncRNA from 1 species
UCGCCGCCUGUAGUCAGCCUCCUAAGCCUGCCUCCUUUGGUCCUCGGCACCUCCUCCUUGGCUCAACUAGGGGCCGCCCCGCACCUCCAGCCCCGGCUGGCCCGCUGGGAGCUGCAGAAAUUCGCUGUCUCCCUCUAUCCCACCUGGGAGGUGAGGGGCCAAAGCUAAACAAAAGUGCAUAAAUCUUCUGGCCUGAGAUGAGGAAACUGGGGUCCAUAGAAGUCUAAGGACUUGUCCAAGGUCACAGAGUGACAAAACCAGUACAAGAACUUACUCUCCUGUGUUCUUUCCACCACAUCGACAACCUUUGCUAAGAAGUUGUUACAGUGACCUUCUUCCAUGGAACUCCCGUAUUCCUUCUGGUCUCUAUAGCUCAUAUUACUUCUCAAAUAUAUCUUGCUUUGUGAUAUCUGUAUUGUUUUCUGCCUUUCCUAAAUAUUUUUCUAUUAUUUGAUUUUAUAUGUAUUUGCUCUGUUUUCCCAAUUGAACUGUACUUUUUUACAGGGUAGAGAUUGGAGCAGCUAGGUGGUGCAGUGGACAGAGUGCUGGGCCUGAAGAUGAGUCUUCCUGAGUUCCAAUCCAGCCUCAGCCACUUACUGUGUGAUACUGGUCAAGUCACUUAACCCCAAUUGCCUGAAAAAUAAAUAAAUAAAGGGUAGAGAUCA